AAGGUUUUUUUACAUUUUUUUUACCAGGUAUGAGCUAGGAAAGACCGGCACAAUGUUGCAGGAUCCUGUAUAUAGUUUUAAAUUAGUUGUACGUUUGUUAAUAUUUAUAGAACAGAAGAUAACAGACAUUGAAAUAAUAAAAUUACUGACGGACGAAGAGAUUGGUCUGCUUGUUCCAAGUAUAGGUGAUCGAAUAAGGUUAAAAAGAGGAAUAAAGAGUUUGGAUAAUGGGCUCGAUAAUAGGACUAGUUGCUCUCCAAUAGAAAUCCAAAAUGUGGACGAUGUUGUAAAUGUUACAUUUUACAUAAUACAGGGUGUCCUAAAGGAGAGGAUCAUGUUGAAGAACCUCCUCAGAAAAAGUCUAAGGAGAACUAUCAUAUAAGUAACGAAAAUUUGGCUUUUGGCAACUUAAAUGGUUUAGCGAAUGUACCUUUGAUAUUUUUAUCAAACACAAAUUUAGAGAAUCAUAUUGAUGAGCUUUCCUCCGAGCCAUUACCUGGACCAUCUGCUGUGUCAUAUUCCGCUUCAGAAGAGACAUCAAGUACAGUAACCAUCGAUUCAGACUUUUCCCUAUCGUCUCUACCAACAGGCUGUAUUGAAGCCAUUGAUGUUAAUGCCAUUUUAAGAAAAGAUUUUCUUGGUGACGCUUUAUAUCAAAAAGGAAAAAAUAACACUUUAACAAACAACGAUAGAGACCGAAUAUCGGACAUAUUAGUGACAACCCUCCUUAAUAGAUUUAAAGGAAAAUUAACUCAUCACCAUUUUAGAGUAGUUUCUGAAAAGUUAGUCAACAUUUUACCAGGAGAGAAGAAAACGACAUAUUUCAUUGAACCAAUUCAAAAAAAAUAUUCUAGGAGAAAUAAGUCUGAGCCAGCAAGAGGCACUCUUAUUGAAAAAUAUCGCAAUAAACUGCAUCUGAUUCGGAAGCUUGAGAAAUCACUUUCUCCUGAGAAAACUAACAGCACAUCCCAUGAGGUAUACGAGCAAUGUGUAAUUGAUAGCCAGAUAUGGCUAACAAAAAAUUCUAACCGAAAUCAGAAGUUCUAAAUCACUGGCGACUAUCCUACCCUCUGAGGUAUAUUGAAAACGACAAUACAGCGACUAUCUCAGAAUUCUUUGUUAAAUGGCCAAUAAUUCACACUGACAUUGCCCCAGAAUUGAUCAAUUAUGACUUUGGACAAAUCCAUGCAUGCAAUAAGGAUCUAGAUGUUGCAGCAAAAUUUGAUGGAAUAUUCCAAUCUAUUUAUGAAAAGAAAAAGAAGUAUUUAAGUGUAGCUGACUGCACAAUUAAGAGUCUACUGGAUACGGAAAUAACCAUUGAUUCAAAAAUUGCUGUUCAGUUAUUUCUGUUUCCAUCACUUGUGCCUCCUCGCGGACCAUUGAGUUAGAAAACUAAUGGAGGAAAUAUAAUGGUAGAGGGGGUAAGAAUUUUUGUAGACGGAAGUUGCCAC